UUUCUGGUGGUCUAGUGGCAAAGACUCCAUGCUUCCAAGGCAGGGGGCCUGGGUUCAAUCCCUGGUCAGGGAA
rfam:Ovis aries breed Texel chromosome 2, whole genome shotgun sequence.